UCUGAGGAAAAUGAUGACAGGAUUAACGAUGUUUUAACUAGCAUAGCAAGAACUUUCGUAUCUGAAAAAACAUCUUCACUAGUUGAGGAAGCAAUUCCUGUAAUCAAUUUUCAACAAAUCGAGAUUGUUGAAGAAAUUGCUGUCGAUUCGUUAUCUGAUGGAGAAAAGCAAAAUCAAUGUGACAAGGAGUUCCAGACAUACCUGAAUGCUAAACCUUGUGAUGGAGAAAGUAACUCACUGGAUGAAAUAGCUGAUGAUACCAUGCAAUCCUUUCAGACAGAGCCACUUAGUCCUGCAGUGCCUCAGGAAGCUGAUUUAAAGAUUACAGACAAGAAAGAGAAUCAGACCCCGCAAUAUCUCAUUGCUGAAAGCUGUGUAGAACAAUCAUCAGAGAAAAGUACAACCUUUGUUAGUGAUAUUCGGUCAAGAAGGGAUAAGGCUGCGAGUGCACCUCAGGAUCGAAUC
rnacentral:lncRNA from 1 species